rnacentral:rRNA from 1 species
GACGAACGCUGGCGGCGUGCUUAACACAUGCAAGUCGAACGAUGAAGGAGGAGCUUGCUCCUCUGGAUUAGUGGCGAACGGGUGAGUAACACGUGAGCAAUCUGCCCUUGACUCUGGGAUAAGCGCUGGAAACGGCGUCUAAUACCGGAUACGACCCUCGGAGGCAUCUCCUGUGGGUGGAAAGAACUUCGGUCAAGGAUGAGCUCGCGGCCUAUCAGCUUGUUGGUGAGGUAGUGGCUCACCAAGGCGACGACGGGUAGCCGGCCUGAGAGGGUGACCGGCCACACUGGGACUGAGACACGGCCCAGACUCCUACGGGAGGCAGCAGUGGGGAAUAUUGCACAAUGGGCGCAAGCCUGAUGCAGCAACGCCGCGUGAGGGACGACGGCCUUCGGGUUGUAAACCUCUUUUAGCAGGGAAGAAGCGAGAGUGACGGUACCUGCAGAAAAAGCACCGGCUAACUACGUGCCAGCCGCCGCAGUAAUAC